rnacentral:lncRNA from 10 species
CCGCCCACUCCAGUCCUCACCCUCCUGGCUGGGAGCCCCGCCCACUCCAGGCCUCACCCUCCAGGCUGGAAGACCCGCCCCUCCCGGGCCUCCGGAUCCUGGCUGGGAGCCAUCUCUGCCUCCUGCCGCUUCCUGCACUCCUGAUCAGAAGGUCAACUGCCUCAGGUGUGUGCAGUCACUUACUGGCCCUGGAAAUGUACAUCCAGAACAGAAUAUUAUCUUCCUGGCAGCCGUCCCAUUCAGCCUGUGCAUGGAGCUGUCCCAAGACCUGAGCCUUCUUAGUUUGGUGAUGCUUCACUAUGGCUUCAACUCUCCAACUUCUGCCCUCCAAGACCAUAGUGAUAAGAAAACAAAGAUCAACUACCCCCGAGCUGGGAGGAGGACUCCUUUUUUCUCUGUACAGCCUUUUAUAUGUUUAACUUGCUUACCAUGUAAUAUGGAUAACCUAUGAAAAAGAUUUCACGUGUAUACCUUUUUAAAUCACUUACUCUACUUGUUUGUGAAGACAAAAAUAAAUUUAAAAAAUGCCACAGACUUCUUGCAAGUUAAAGAAAAAAAUUCAGCUUCCUGUGUAAUAAGAAAUAUUGUAAGUCACACUCGUAGUCCGAGCUAUUUGGGAAAUUGUGGUGGGAGGAACACUUGAGCCCAGGAGUUCGAGACUGCAGUGAGCUAUAAUGGUGCCCACUGCACUCCCAUCUGGGCAACAGAGCAAGGAAUCAUCUCUA